AGAGUUUGAUCCUGGCUCAGAGCGAACGUUUGCGGCGGGCCUAACACAUGCAAGUCGAACGAGAAGCCCCUUCGGGGGUGGAAAGUGGCGCACGGGUGCGUAACACGUGGAUAAUCAACCCUCUUGUCUGGGACAACACCGGGAAACUGGUGCUAAUACCGGAUAAGUCUCUUCGGAGAGAAAGACCCGCAAGGGUUGCUAGAGGACGAGUCCGCGGCCCAUCAGCUUGUUGGUGAGGUAAAGGCUCACCAAGGCUAAGACGGGUAGCUGGUCUGAGAGGAUGAUCAGCCACACUGGAACUGAGACACGGUCCAGACUCCUACGGGAGGCAGCAGUGGGGAAUAUUGCGCAAUGGGCGAAAGCCUGACGCAGCCACGCCGCGUGAGCGAUGAAGGUCUUCGGAGUGUAAAGCUCUGUGGAGAGAGAAGAAGAAAGCCUGUGAAGAGCAGGCCUUGACGGUAUCUCUUUAGCAAGCACCGGCUAACUCCGUGCCAGCAGCCGCGGUAAUACA
rnacentral:rRNA from 1 species